CGUAGGUCCCCGAGCGUUGUCCGGAUUUAUUGGGGCGUAAAGCGAGCGCAGGCGGUUAGAUAAGUCUGAAGUUAAAAGGCUGUGGCUUAACCAUAGUACGCUUUGGAAACUGUUUAACUUGAGUGCAAGAGGGGAGAGUGGAAUUCCAUGUGUAGCGGUGAAAUGCGUAGAUAUAUGGAGGAACACCGGUGGCGAAAGCGGCUCUCUGGCUUGUAACUGACGCUGAGGCUCGAAAAGCGUGGGGAGGCAAACAGGAUU
rnacentral:rRNA from 1 species